rnacentral:rRNA from 1 species
UACAGAGGUGGCAAGCGUUGUUCGGAAUUACUGGGCGUAAAGGGCGCGUAGGCGGUCCUGUAAGUCCCGCGUGAAAUCCCCCGGCUCAACUGGGGAACGGCGCGGGAGACUGCGGGGCUUGAGUUCGGGAGAGGGAAGCGGAAUUCCGGGUGGUAGCGGUGAAAUGCGCAGAUAUCAGGAGGAACACCGAUGGCGAAGGCAGGUCUCUGGGCGAUUAACUGACGCUGAGGAGCGAAAGCAUGGGGAGCGAACAGG